GGGUAAAGCCUGUUCAUGGCCGGUUCCUUCGUCCUCGUGAGCCGCCUGGCUGCUGUCAGGCUGGUCACGCUGCGGGGCGCCAAGCCUGGAGCUCCCCAAGGGCUGUGCAGAUGAGGCUUGUGCGCUUAGGCCUUGGCCUUCGCCUGCCUUCUGGGGAUUUUUAUUUUUAUGGCGCUAUUUUUAGCGAACAGGUCACUUCUUUGUUUGUUCGACGUGCUAAACCCUUCCUGUGCGAUGAACGUUGCAACCUUAGAAUUGGUGGUGUGUGGAAUUUCAAUCUAAAACCUGCCCUUAUGGGGAACGCCGUCUGGCAAGCUGUGUGAGGGAGGCUUCUACAUUUUCUGACUAAAAACAGUUUCGAGAGGAUUGCUGACUGCUGAAAGCUAUCUGAUAAAAGAUUCUGGUGCUUCACGAUACAAACGCGAGUGAAAUUACAAGCAGGCAAUUGGUGCAGAAAGAUGCCCUGAAGUAAAGAAGCCUGGUCUUUACAGCUAAAUGUGACACUGUUAGGACCUGGAGCAGGUUGCUCAUUGGAGAUGGCCCUGAUGUGAAACUCUUCACGAGCCCUGUGGAAGGCAGUGGGGCAGCAGGAGCAGGAGAUUUCUUCUGGGUGUUCACGCUGAAAAUGUCUGAUGAAGAAGGAAUCUGAUAAAACAUGCACCUGAGCUUGGGGACUGGUGUUUGUAAACACAGUUUUCUGCGCUAAGAUGUUAAGAAAUGGUAACAGUUACAGCUUUGA